CGUUUUUAUAUUAUAUUUUCAUAUUUUUUUUAAAUAUGAAAAUAUAUCACAUUACACGUUUAGUAAUGACAGAAUGCAAUGUAAACUUCACGGACAGAAACACUCUUGUAUGUUUUAUCGAUAGGAGUGGGGAAAAAAGCUUGUGGUUGUGAAUUGUUAAGCUUACCAAAGCACACCAUAGUAGGCAUUAACGAUAAGUAAUCAAAUAAAGAUGUUUUUCACACCAUAGCCUGCAGGAGUUGCACUAAUUAUUCUUUCAUUUUGAUUAGUCAGUCAUUGUUGUCAGGUAGGUUUUACAGUCAGUGUUAGGAGAAGAGGGCUGUGGUUCCUAUCAGGGGGGUUGCUGGGUAUUUGAUUGGUAAAAUGGGUAGAUGUUUAGCGUGAAGAUCUGGUUAUAGAUCAUUCACACUGGGAGAGAAUGUGUUUUUCUUUCUUCACCCUAUGUGUGGACGUCAAUGAACAGUUCCCAUUCUCCCAUACAGCCUCUCAAUCGCAGCCUGGGUUGACUCUAGUCGACCUGGGUCAUUAACUUUGUUACUGUGAUAAACCAGGAGUGUUGAGUGGAAUUACUCAAGUCGUUGCUUUGAAACUGCAGCUUGUUGGUACAGGCAGGCAUGCGCUCACCCAACAACACUAGUAACAAACUGUUGCUGUACUCAAGUAGGAUGACUAGUGUAACCACAGCACCAUCAAGUGGCUCAACUGGUAACUGCAGCAUUUCAUAUCACUACAGUUACCUUCCUACUAAAGCCAUUCCUAUCCCUGCCUCAGCCCUGCCCUUCCUCCUACUUUCUCCUGCUGUAGCUGUGGUUUCUAGUAAAUUGCCCCUAGUCUAUUAGAGAGAGGUGUUUAUCUAAGAAUUGGGGGAUGUUAUGAAUGUUGUCCACAGGUGCACGCAAACAUGACACAGGACUGGAGUACCUGUUUUUGUCCAGGUGGAGGCAGGAGUGGUCAAGACUGCACAGAGGAGGGCCCGGAGAACAAGAAAGAUGAAGAAGAGGAGGGCUACCUUUCCAAAAUCAAGAACAUCUUUAGCUGAUAGUCACGUCUCAAUAAGAGAUCAACAGGACAAUAAUGGGAGAAGGAAAGCGACUGGUGCUCCGUCCCUCUCACUACCCUCCCACACCAAACGCCUGGAUAGAGAGAGAAAGAAAGGGAGGAGAAAUUGAGAGAGAGAGGUGUUUGGAUGUGAGGAGAGGACAUCUAUAUUCAGGGAAUGGCCCAUCAAGGAGUCAAGCCACACACGGACACUGUUCAGUCCCCAAAGAGACAGGUGUUGGUGUGGGACACUAAGGACUUGUAAUAACUGGAGGGGAAUCAGUGUGGACGCCAGCCAGUAUCUGCAUGCUUGGCAAGGAAGGGAAGACGAGAAGAUUAGUGGCAAGGAGAAGAGAGAACAUGAGCGAGCAAUGAGUGUGUUCCAGACACCAACAUUCUGCACAGACGCUCAGGGCCUGUAUUCAUAAAGCUUCUAACAGUAGGAGUGCUCAUCUAAAAUGCAAAACUGUUCCCAAAUCAGCCUUCCUACUCUGAGACGCUUUGGGAAUACAGCGUCCAACACCUCAGGAACCACGUUUAUAUGAUAUAACGAUCCUAUAAUCUGCACAGUAUUAGGGUGUCUAGAACACAGCCAUUUGCAUCAUGUUGUGGUCUGAUAAAGGCCGAUGCAUUUAGUUGUAUUGUCAUUGUGGUGUUGUUGUAUGUGUAAGGGACAACAGCUCUGCAAGACUUACCUAGGUUUAAAUACAUUUAAAUAUUAUAGUAAAAACAAUACUCUGUUA